rnacentral:rRNA from 1 species
UACGUAGGGUGCGAGCGUUGUCCGGAAUUAUUGGGCGUAAAGGGCUCGUAGGCGGUUUGUCGCGUCGGGAGUGAAAACUCAGGGCUUAACCUCGGGUCUGCAUUCGAUACGGGCUAGCUAGAGUGUGGUAGGGGAGAUCGGAAUUCCUGGUGUAGCGGUGAAAUGCGCAGAUAUCAGGAGGAACACCGGUGGCGAAGGCGGUUCUCUGGGAAUAUCCUGACGCUGAGGAGCGAAAGUGUGGGGAGCGAACAGG